GCUGGGCAUGGUGGCGCAGGCCCGUGAUCCCAGCAACUCAGGAAGCUGAGACAGGAGGACCACAGGUUGGAGGCCAGCCUGGGCAAUAUAGGGAGACCCUGCCUCAA
rnacentral:sRNA from 1 species